GCCUAAUACAUGCAAGUCGAGCGGAAUAAGGGAGCUUGCCCCCUGGACGUUAGCGGCGGACGGGUGAGUAACACAUGGGCACCCUGCCCCUUAUACUGGGAUAACUCCGGGAAACCGGAGCUAAUACCGGAUAAUCCCUUUUUCCACCUGGGGAGAGGGUGAAAGAUGGCUUCUGCUAUCUCUAUGGGAUGGGCCCGCGGCGCAUUUGCUAUUUGGGAAGGUAACGGCUUACAAAAGCAACUAUGCGUAGCCGACCUCAGAGGGUGAUCGGCCACACUGGGACUGAGACACGGCCCAGACUCCUACGGGGGGGAACAUUGGGGAAUCUUCCGCAAUGGACAAAAGUCUGACGGAGCACCGCCCCGUGGGUGAGGAAGGCCUUCGGGUCUUAAAGCUCUGUUGUGAGGGAAGAAACGGUACCGUUCGAAUAUGGCGGUACCUUGACAGUACCUCACCACAAAGCCACGGCUAACUAC
rnacentral:rRNA from 2 species